rnacentral:rRNA from 1 species
GAUGAACGCUGGCGGCGUGCCUAAUACAUGCAAGUCGAGCGAACAGACGAGGAGCUUGCUCCUCUGACGUUAGCGGCGGACGGGUGAGUAACACGUGGAUAACCUACCUAUAAGACUGGGAUAACUUCGGGAAACCGGAGCUACUACCGGAUAAUAUAUUGAACGGCAUGGAUCAAUAGUGAAAGACGGUUUUGCUGUCACUUAUAGAUGAAUCCGCGCCGCAUUAGCUAGUUGGUAAGGUAACGGCUUACCAAGGCAACGAUGUGUAGCCGACCUGAGAGGGUGAUCGGCCACACUGGAACUGAGACACGGUCCAGACUCCUACGGGAGGCAGCAGUAGGGAAUCUUCCGCAAUGGGCGAAAGCCUGACGGAGCAACGCCGCGUGAGUGAUGAAGGUCUUCGGAUCGUAAAACUCUGUUAUUAGGGAAGAACAAAUGUGUAAGUAACUAUGCACGUCUUGACGGUACCUAAUCAGAAAGCCACGGCUAACUACGUG